GAAAGCCACAAAAAAAACUGAUAAACCCAGACAAGAAGAUAAAGAUGAUCUAGAUGUAACAGAGCUCACUAAUGAAGAUCUUUUGGAUCAGCUUGUGAAAUACGGAGUGAAUCCUGGUCCUAUUGUGGGAACAACCAGGAAGCUAUAUGAGAAAAAGCUUUUGAAACUGAGGGAACAAGGAACAGAAUCAAGAUCUUCUACUCCUCUGCCAACAAUUUCUUCUUCAGCAGAAAAUACAAGGCAGAAUGGAAGUAAUGAUUCUGACAGAUACAGUGACAAUGAAGAAGGUAAAAUUUUAAAUGAUGUUAAUCAAAUGUAUGGAAUUUUUUCACACUCAAAAUUCAGUGACCAUGAAGAAAGUAAAAUUUAAAACAAUAUUGGCAAGAUACACAAAUUUUAUUCGUGUCAUUAGAGUAAUUCUGUAAUUUGAUUUAAAUACUUUUUAUUGAAAAUUCUAAGAAGCAACAUAGUACAAAUUCAUAAUUUUCCAUCACCUGAAAUUGCAAGUUAACUUUGUCUUUUUUGCUACAAAUCUCAUUUUUCUGAGAGAAUAAAGUAUUACAAGUAAAGGCAAAGUUUCUCGUACUUACCUGUACCUAUCACCUCCACAGAAGUAACUACUAUUAUUAAUUCAAUGCCUGUCUUUCAAGUUUUAUAUUUCACAUACACAUCUGUCUAAUACAUGGUAUUAUUUUAUACUUUAAGAAUAAAAAAUUUAUAU
rnacentral:lncRNA from 10 species